AACAGGCCAGAUGAAGCCUCUCCAGACAAGCCUGUUAGCCAAUGGAACAUCAAUGAUGAUCUCCUUCAUUGUUGGCUUCUUCUCAUCUCUUAUUGCAAUCAAGUAGCUCCUUCCUACCCACCCAAUCCAUCCAGCAAUGUACAAGAAGAGGAUCCCAGGAGUGAUGAACUCACCCCAAUGCCUCUGGUCUCCACUCACUAUCAGGUGUGGCAGUCCAUCCGAUCCACACAAUAGUCCCUGUUUCGCGUAGUUGUCAAAUCUGCAAUGACAAUAGUUGAGUGAAUUUGUGUAAGUGAAAUAAAACUAGUUAUGUGACUUCUCCGUUACAAAAUAAAGUUGAGUGACUUUAUCAAGAUAAUUUCCGUUAGUUGAGUAAUUUCAAAGGAGUUUUGUCCUUCACUGGUGAGGGACAGCGAGACAGUUGUGCUUAUAUACAGAAGCACUUCUUCUAGCUCUUAAAGAAUUGAGAAGAGAGUCUUCCCGGCGCCAUCGUUGUCCCUCAGCUGGCUUGGGCUUGAAUUUGAAUUUAUGAUGUGAUUGACUGAUAUAUUUUUGGAUCAAAUUUAUUUAGUUAAUAUUUAUAUUUCAGUAACAUUUUUGUAAUUAAUUCCCAUGUUAUUGUUUUGUCGUAGCCAUAUUUUUCGUAAACAACCAUUUUCGCAAAGAACCACCAGGAAGAGUUGCAUCUCUUCGUUUGAGACUAGACUUCUGCUUAUAUAUAUCUGUCCUUUAAUUCAGAUUUUUACUUACGAUUUUUUUUUUAAAUAUUUCUCGCAUAUUACUUUCUGCUCUGCGAAGUAAAUUUGAAGUGUGAUUCAACUGUUCUUAAUGUUCGUUGAACACCGGUGUUUGAAGUAUCUUUGCACAAGUGACAGUAAUCUGCCCUAUCUUGGGAGGAAAUAAUCUUAUACCUCAGGUAUUAGGAACACUAUGAAUUUCAGGAGGCUCGAAUUAGUUUCAGCUUUCAUCUCAUGUAUAUUUUGUCAAGUCUUAGUUUCCAGGAUUUAUUUGGUUACUAACAGUAUUUGUGUUACUAAACAAAAUUCGAAUGAUCAUAUGCGAAAUUAACUCUAUGAUAAGGAAUUACAUAGAUGGAUUAAAUAAAAAAUGAUUACUAGGGGAAAAUGGAAGGUGAGACAAACCUGCGCUUAGUUUUCUCAAUAGUAGCAUUAAUAGCAAGUGCAGGAGCACUAUCAGGUGCAUAUAGCUUCAAAGAAUUCUCAAGCUUCUUGAUCUGUUGCUUCUCCCUCUUAGCAAACUGCUUUGACUCCUUGCAAGGUGUGAGUCCAGAGAUGUCAGCAGAAGCUGGAAGCACUGGUGCUGACAACAGAAUUGAAGACAAAGCAAGUGCUGCUGAGAAUACCUUUAAUGAGGAAGAUGUUUCAUCUGUUUUAGUAGAAGCAGGAGUUUGGUUUGAAGAGCAGACUAUUGUUGAAGUUCUUGGUUUUGUGGUAAACUGAGAACUAAACUUAGAUGAUGUUGAAAUGGGUUUUGAAAGGUUUGCAGGAAUUGUGAGAGACAUGGUGUUUUCUCCUCUCUCUUUUUAUGGUAUUAUUUUCAAGAAAAAAAGAGAGGAAGGAGGAGUGGAUUGGAGUGUGGAGAGUGAAAGGAUGUUUUUUUAGGAUAUUUGGAAGAAAGGAUUGGUAUUGAAGAGAGAGGAUAAAGGAGUUGAAGGGGAGCUUAGGUGGAGGGAUUUGAUUGGCUAAUUGAGUUGGAUUUUGUGAGAUUGGUGGAUUUUGCUGAAACUUUAUCUAUCUGUGAAAGAGCAAGAACCAGGGAUGUAACAGAUACAGAUACGCCUCCUUCGGAGCCAUAUUAUCCCUUGGAAUAGCUAGUAAGUUGCUGCCCACGUAAUCAGGAGGUCAUAAGUUCAAGUUUUGAAAACAGUUUCUAAUAAAAAUACAAGGUACGACUGCAUACGAUACACCCUUGUGGUGGGGCCCUUCCCUGGAUACCGCGCAUAGUGGUAAUUUUAGUACACUGGACUGUCCUUUAUUGGCAAAAUGGCUAAAUGGAUCCUUGUACUAUGUUCGUUUUGUAAUGUGAACACUUCUACUUACAUGUUUGUCAUCUGAAUCGUUGAAUUAAUUAAAAAGUAAUAUUUUAAGCCCUUUAUCGGUCUACUCCUUUGAACGUGUUGCACAAUCACGAACAUGUCAUCAAAUAUUUGAAAAUAAUUUUCACAUAUGAAAUAACGUGUCCAAGGUAUAAAUAGAAAAGUAAGUCCGAAAAAUUAAGUCAUUUUAGACCCUUCUUCUUCGUCUCUUUCAUCCAAAGUUUAAAAUUUCCCCUAUUUUAACUUAAUUUAGGUAGAUUGUUGUUGGUGGUUGUUGCAAUCCGUGUAAGUAUUUAAUAUUUUGUGGUAACUGUAGUAUUUCGUAGUUUAUUUCAGGCUCUUUUGUCGAUGUAAUGAAGUCCGUUUUAGUAAUUUUAGGAUUUUCGCCAUUAUGAACUUUUUUUUCAAUUUUUUGGGUGGUUUUGCUCUAUUUUAUAUCUAGUGUUGUUGUAGGUAGUAUGUGUAGUGGUGAUAUGCCUUCAAUGACAUAUUUUGAAAUUUUGAUCAAAAUUUAGAGUUUUUUCGUAAAAUGGUAAUUGGGUUCGAAAAUUUUUGAGCUUUUAAUUUUUUUUUUGUUGUCUAAUGCUCCUAUUAUACCUAUAUAUUACAGUUUUGUGCCUUCAAUGGUGUAUUUUAUUAUUUCGAUUACAUUUUAAAUUUUUUUUGGUAAAUUUAAAAUUAGGUUCGAAAAUUUUGGGGCUUGUGAAUUUUUUGUUGUUUAAUGCUCCAAUUAGAUGUGUGUAUAACAGUUUUGUACCUUCAAUAGCAUGUUUUGUUAUUUCGAUUACAUUUUAAAGUUUUUUUUUUUUGAUAAAAUCAGAAUUGGGUUUCUUAUUCCUUUAUUUUUUCUUUAAAAAUUAGGUCUUUAUGGAUAAUUAACUAAUUAUAUAUAUUAUCUUGUCAUUGUACAGAUUUUCUAAGUAAAUGGACACAAUUGUAACAAUUCAAUUCACCUAUAGGGGGGUCUUUUUGUCAGACCCUGAUCUAAGGUAUGCAAAUGAAGUUUGUAUUCUUGAAAAAAUUAGAGUAGAUGUAGAUGAGCUUCAUAUUAUGUUAUUUCAUAACUUAGCAAUAGAUUUAGAUAUGGAAAAAAAUAAAACUUUUUGAUGUAGAGUAAAUAAAAAGGGUUAUUAUUAUAUGUUAGAUAGUGAUGCUGAUGUUUUAAGAUUUAUCAAUAGUUUAAAAGUUGGAGAUUUUGUUAAUAUAUAUGUUGUUCACCAUAUUAGUGAACUUAUAGUUGUUAAUGAAGAUGUGACAGCUACUCCAUCAUUAUUACUACUUAGCAAUAGUAAUGUGGCAGCCCCUUUUAAAACUGAUAAGGUUGUGUGUCUUCAUCUCAUCCGUUGAAUAUAAAUGAAGAUGAGUAUAUAAAUGAAAAUCAGCCUCCUAAGGCAGACAAAGGAAAAGCUAAGGUUUCUUUAGAAGACUUAGGGGAAAGUCAAGUUAAUGAUUUCUCCACAUACCACCUUCAAACAUCUGAUUCUGAAUUAAAUUUUCAGACCACUGAUUCUGAUGUUGAUUCACUUUAUGAUAUUAAUGAAAAUAUUGAAGAGGAGUGAUUUUGACAAAGAGUUGCUUUAAGUUAGGAAGUCUAACAUUGAAAAACAAGCAAAAGAAAAGGCUGAUAGGGUAAAUCUAGAUGAGAUACCAUCUGAACUAGUAGGUAUAAAUGCUGGUUUUGAGGAAAUUUGUAAGAACAAGGGGGUUAGAUAUGAAAGUAAACUGGGUAGGGAUGACCCUUAUUUUGGUAGUUUAAAUUCGAAUAGUAACAUUAGUGAAGAGGAAGGAGAUCAUGUUGAUGAUGAUGAACUGGUAGAUCCACUACCUAGAACUUCAUCUAGCAAGAUCUACUUUGAUGAAACUGCAAAGAAGAUAUAUUUUUAGUUGUACAUGAUUUUUUGAAUGCUGUUGAAUUUAGAGAGGUACUGCAGACUUUAUUCAAAAAAAUGUGAACCUUAAAUUAAAACCUAAUAAAAAGAAAAGAGUAAAGGCAAAGUGUAAGCAUAAGGAUUGUUCUUGGGUUAUUCUUGAAAGUGUUGAUAACACAAAAAAUUUUAGUGUGAAAACAUACUUUCUUAUCCACAAAUGUUCUAAAAAGACAAAAAAUGAGAUGUGAGUGAUUCAUCAAUAAAAUUGCAUCAGAUUCAAACACUUUUAAGAAAGGACUAUGGAUUGUAUGUUAGUAAAACAACCCGUAGAAAAUCAAAAAUUAAAAUUAUGAAUGAAUAUUUUGAUGAUUUUGUUGAAGAGUUUGCUAGGUUGUAUGACUAUGCUGAAUAGUUAGGAUCACCAAUCCUGAUACCACUGUAUCUACUAGAACAUCCAAGAAUUCAAUUCCAAGGUGGUUAUAGGCAUUUAUAUUUGUCUUGGGGCCUUAAAAAGUGGAUGAAAAGAGGGUUCUAGAAGAAUAAUUGAUUUAGAUGGUGCCUUUCUCGAGGGUGUAUAUAAAGGUAUCUUGUUGUCUUGUAUUUUCAAAGAUAAAAAUAAUCACAUGCAUCCUGUAGCAUGGGCAGUGGUUGAUAAAGAAACCAAGGACAUAUGGUCUUGAUUUCUUAGGUACAUCAACCAUAAUUUGAAACUUCGAGAAAAUGGGGGUAAAGGCUUGACAUUAAUAUCUGAUAUGCAGAAGGUAUGAAGUGUCAUAUUUUUUUUAGUUAUUUUUUCAAUUUGCUUAGUGAUGUCAUGAAUGUUUAACUACUGUUUUACAUGUUUUGAUAGGGUCUUCAUUUGGCACUUACUAAGCUACUGUCAAAUGCUGAGCAUAGAUGUGCUAGACAUAUAUGGGCAGACUGAAAGCAGGUUUGGAGAGGUGAAAAAAGAAGGAAAAAAUUCUAGCAGGUUGCAAGGGCUCGAUUUAAAGUGUAUUUACAACAAAAAACUUAAUAAAAUGAGUGAGUUAGAUGUUGAAAUUGUGAAAUACUUGCUCAAAUACAACAAAGAGGCAUGGUGUAGGAUUUUUUUUUAAAGAAUAUAGCAGGUGUGAUGUGGUUGAGAACAACAUGUAUGAAACUUUCAAUAGUUAAAUUUUAGCUGCUAGGUUCAAAACAAUUAUCACUAUGUUGGAGAAAAUAAAAUGCAAAGUCAUGGAAAGAAUGAAUCAAAUGAGAAAUUUUUAGAAAAAUGAAUCAGUGAUGUAUCACCAAUGGAUAUGAAAGUUCUUGUAGAGAAUAAUAUGCAAUCAAGUGUGAGGUAAGGUUUAAUGGUGAUAUAGGCUUUGAGAUUGGUGAUCCACCAUAAACACAUGUUGUUAAUGUGAAGAGGAAGGAAUGUAGUUGUAGGUCAUGGCAACUAAAGAAAAUUCCUUGUGCACAUGCAAUUGUUUCAAUGCAUUACAAGGGAUAGAAUGUGGAGUCAUUUGAUAAGCACUGGUAUCAAUGAAAAACAUACUUGAAGGCAUAUGAUAAGUAUAUUCAACCAAUGACAAAUAUAAAGAUGUAGCUAAGAAGCACAAGACCACUAAUUGAGUCACCUGAGAUUACUGCCAUGCCACGAAGGUCAAGUAAAAAUAGAAAGAAAGCUAAGGAUGAGUCUAUUAAGAAAAAGUUUAGGAAGGCUACAAAAAAAGAAAGAAAAAUGACAUGUUUUGUGUGCAAGUCUAUUGGAGACAACAAGAAAGGAUGUCCAAUUUUGGUAACCUAAAACUUUUCUUAUUGAUGAAUUUUACUCUUUUUGAAUGUGUUUUUGAUCUUUAAAUAUUUUUUUGUAGAAAAAAGAUUUCAGUAGUAGCUGUGGCAGUCAACCAAGUGUGCAAGCUGGUGCUAGUACUGUUGCUGCUGAGAGACCUGCAAAUGCUUCAGCAGCUGAAGACAUGCCUGCAAAUGCUAAACCAAGAAACAGAAGGCCUGCAGGAAGGCCAACAAAUGCUCACCGUGUACCAAGAGCUGCAGAAAGGCCUGCAAAUGUUGCAUCAGUUGGUGGUGUGAGGCCUGCAAGUGCCUUAACAACUGAUAUAAGGCCUGCAACUGUUGUGAUUCCUGCAACCACUUCACCAGUAGAUGAUAAUACUACACAAUCUACAACUCAGUAGUCUACUAGUGGUGUUGGUGUCCAAAAGAGGAGGACUAGUACAACUUUGAGAGGUGGUGCAAAUCUUGCAUAUAAAAGAUCAAGGCAAAACAAAAUUAAUUUUGUUGUGCUGUUUGGACUAAGUGGCAACGUAGUGGAGAGGGUAAAUUUUCUAUCAUGUAAUUUUCAUUUAACUGGUAUUAAUUAGUGUAUCUAUAACUGAUUUUUUUUAUUUUUACAGUUUGAAAAUACUGAUAGAGUGUUACAUAAUCCAACACUUAUUAGUUCAGUUCCAAUCAAUAUUGACUUGGGUUUCAAACCAAAUAGACUGAGGCGGAAAGGUGGAGCUGCAGUAACUCAAAGACAACUACAAGAACAGAGUUACAACAGAUAAAACACAAAAUCAUCUACAACCACUCAAGCCACAUCAAGCACUCAAGCCAGCAAGAAUCAGGCCACAACAAGCACUCAAGGAACACAUUAGUGUAAUUCUCUUUUUGUAUUGAUCCCAAGUGUUGUUAAGAUAAUUUUUUAAGACUUCUGAUGCAUUUCUCAUUAAAGAUGUUGUUAAGACAAGUUUUUUCAUUUCAACUCUUGCUAACACAUUAUAUAUUGAAGAUUUCUAAGUUGGCAAAAUGGUGUUUGUCAUUAAAUUUGAAUUUCAUUUUCAUUGUACAUUGCAACUACAAAAAUUAAGUCAUCUUAAAUAUAAUAGAUAGAAAUCAGAUGACAACAAUAAUAAUAGUGAUAUCAAUGCUAGUGCUUGAUCUUUCAUGUCUUUCAUACCUUUCAUAUCUUUCCAGUCCUUCUUGUCUUCGUUGCCUUCUAUGUCUGCCUUUAUAUUAUUUAUUUUCAUCAGCACAUCAAAAGAAUCCACAAUCAUUAGCAACUUCAUAUUUUUGACAGCUCCAAAAUAUUUUUUCGGGGUUGAUUGGUAUUCUUGAAUCUUAAUUUCAGCGUAAAGCCCACAAUAACAUACCCGAACUGUCAUGGUGUUGUGAAAAAUUACAUAAGAUAUUAACAUUCCAAUAUUACAAACAGAACAGGAAAAAAAAUUAAGAAACAAGAACUUAGAGAGAGAAAAAUGGAGAAGAAGGGAGAAAAAAAAGCUCAAAUUGCUUCAAUAAUGAUGUUGGAAGCAUAUGAGGAAGAAGUAGCAUUUAUAAGGACUUUAUGACUGUUGGGGGACUUUUUUCGAUGGCUUACGUGCGCUUGAAGGCUAAACUAUUUGCUCCUAUGUGAUUCCAGCCACAUUGGAUGCCACAUCAAAAAAAAGUAUUUAAAAUGUUCAUUUUUAGUGGGUUCAAGGAUUCAGAUGAUAAACAUGUAAGUAGAAGUGUCUACAUUACAAAACAGACAUAGUACAAGGGUCCAUUGAAUUAUUUUGCCUUUUAUAUUUCAAUCUUUCUUUCUCACUUAUAUUUUUAGCUCUUAUCUUAAGGGGUGUUUAGCCAUAAAAGUUUUAAUAUUUUUAGAAAGAUCAUGUAAGAGUAAAAAAUAAUAUUUAAAAAUUAAAAUUGUGUUUUGAUCAUAAAUAUAAAUUGGAGGCGUUUUUGAAUUACUUUUCAAAUUUCAAUUUUUUGAAAAGUAUUAUCACAAGAUCAUAUACAAAAAAAUUGAUUUUCACUAAGAGAGUUAAAAAAAUUGUAUUGCUUGAGAUUUGAAUUUAGAAUUUAAAGUGAAUUUUGAAUUUUCUAAACUAUUGAUCCUACUCUAAUUUAUUGUUUAGGGUAUUGAAAAAAAAAAACUAUAUAGCUAGACAUUAAUUCUGCUAAUAUAUGCAGUAACGAGAUGAGCCUCGCCAUAGUACCAAAUUUAUAUGAAUUUAUUUAUGAUUAAUUAGGAGUUGUUAGAUUAAAAAAGUGAACAAAAAUGAAAGAGUUGAAAAAAAAAAGAGAAAUAUGAAAAAAAGAGUGGCUAGCCAAGAUUUUGUAGUUAUAUAGUUUUCUUUAAACAGUCUAUAGCAUCAAUGAUUUAGGAAAUUUAAAAUUCACUUUAAAGUUCUAUAUUUAAUCUCAAGUAUUUUUUUUUUUUUGAUUAUGAGUAGCAUCAAUGAUUUAGGAAAUUUAAAAUUCACUUUAAAGUUCUAUAUUUAAUCUCAAGUAUAUUUUUUUUUUGAACUCUUUUAGGAGUCGUUUGGUACACUGAAUGUGAUAAAUAAGAAUAUCUAAGGUGGGAUAUUUCAUAAGAUUAUUUUAUUCAUCUCUCUCCGUGGGACAGUAAUCUCAUUAUCUUAAUAUAAAUGGUGGAAUAAAAUAAUUUUGAAAUUAAGUAAUACCUUAUAUCAAAUAUGGGAUAAAGUUAAUUCUAAAUUUUAUCCCAAAAUUAUUUUUUAUCCCUUCUACCAAACGAUUCCUUAGUGAAAAUCCACAAUCUUUUCAUAUCUGGGUUUGUGAAAAUAUUUCAGAUAAAUUAAAAUUUAAAAAAUAGCAAAAAUUAUUUCUAAUCUAAGUUAUUCCUAAAAACUCAAAAACACUUGCAAUUCGUAUUUAUGAUCAGACAUAACUUUAAUUUUUAAAUAAUAUUUUUUACUUUUAAAUAAUUUUUAAAAAAUAUUUACACUUUUCAUGACUAAACACUCCUUAAAAUAAAAACUAAAAUUUGAGUGGGGAAGAUAGAAAUAUAAAAUAAGGAGGCAAUAUUCAAAAAAAAAAAAAACAGGAAACAGAAGGAAAUGUGAGGAAAUAUUGGGAGAGGAACAUUUGCUAAUACAAUGGACCCCACAAGAACAUAUGUCAAAAGCAAAAAGACCCUUACAUAACUAUUGUUGGGUGAGCCUCACCCAUUUUAUAAUUUUCCAUCACCGAAACUACAGAUCAUAUGCUACUGUCAUUUGCACUUUUUCCCUUGAAAUAAAUAAUAUUUUAUAAGUUUAUAAUCAUUUUAUAAUAAUAUUUCAUGAGUUAUGGUCCUCUCCUAUAAGGUAGUUGUCCCAGUAGAUAUAAUUUCAAUUGCGAAAACUCAAAAUUCGAUGGGCGAAUUGCAAUUAAAUGACCUAAUUUGUCAUGUCAUUUGAGGACAAAAUGUUUGCAUGGAUUGUUCUUGUUUUAAAGUGGUUUUCAAUUUUUGCAAUCAAAAUAAUAUAGUUGAAUUUGUUUAAGUGUUUUAAGGGCACGCGAGUUAGAUUGAUUAUAAAAAUGAAAUAACAAUGAAAUGAAUCACAGCAACAAGAUGUAAUGAAUACAAAGCAAGAAAAUAAUUAAAUUAGAUCCUAAAAUUGGGCCUAGGUGGCUUUGGUAUUCUCUGUCCGAAAGCUGAUGAAUUGAGAAACUGAGAGCCUUUUCUUAAGAAGAGAAAGUAUGUAUGAACAAGUGUGUCUUGUAAAAACUUUCAGAGCCUCGAAUGUUUGAUUCCUAAGUGUGUCACUGUCUUCCAGUUGAGCAGUAGCACUUUGGUUGUCGGGUUGGAAAGAUUAUCUUAUCAUCAUUACUAGUUACUGUUUCUGUAUCAAGAUUCUACCUUUCUGAAGUUAGACAGGCCAUGUUAGUAAGGCCGGUACCAAUGUCGAGUAUUAUAGGAUCCCUCCAAAAUUGGACAUCACUCCGAGCUCGGUCUUUUGGAAGGGUUCUUCUGGUGCUCCCCAAUAGUCCCUUCAUAGUCAGACGCAUGUAUCACAUCUUUCAUGUCUUUUUUUUUUGCAACAAAUGUGAAUAUUAACAUCAACAAAACAGUCAUAUAAAAAUAAUUUUUUUUUAAUUUGAGUCUCAUAUGUCAUGUAAUAGUUGUAUGAGGUCUUUAAUAUUUGACGAAAUACAUAUACAGGCCCUUGAAAUAUUUCACUUUUCCCGUUUAGACACCUAAAUUAAGAAAGGUACCUAUUGAACCCUUUACUCCUUCAGAAAUGGUUUCAAUUGAGCCCAAUUCUCCGAUGUGGCAGUUUGCGUGUACUCACAUCUGGGAGGCGCGUGAAAUGUCAUGGAACCAGCUUAUGUGGCACCCAACGGAUCUUUUAUCCUCUUUUUAUACCCAAUUUCUUAAAAAAAAAAAACCCUAAUUCCCACUUUCUUCCUCUUUUUAUACUCAAUUCUUAAUAUCCACCAUUUUUGUCUCCUAAAUUCUCCUUCUCCUCUUAAAUUUCUUUUCAGCCUUUUCUCUUGCUUCGCUUAAACUCUCCUACUCUUAUUAAUUUCUUCUUCUUACUCGUUUUUAGUAGUAAUAUCCAAUUCAUCUUUUUCAUUGUCUUCAUCUUCUUUAAUUCCAAAAGGAGUAUGUUUAUGUGGGGUGAAAGCUGAAAUUAAGACCUCGUGGACACAACUCAACACUAGUGGGAGAUUCUUUUACUGCAAAACUUCAAAGGUAUUCAUCUUUUGCUGCUUCAUUGGACGAAAUGCAAUUACUUCGAUUAGUGGAUGCAAUUUUUUAAUUUAAUUUUUUCUUUAAACCUGUAGGCGAGAGGUGGAUGCAAUUACUUUGAUUGGUAUGAUGAUGAAAUGCCCCCUCAAGCAAAGAGGGUGAUGUGGGGUUUAUUAAAAAAAUUCAAAUCAUUUGAAGAAGAGAGGAAUCGAUCAAGAAAAUUUAAAGUGAUAUGCGUUGGGGCGAUUGUGAUUUUGGCUACAUGGAAUUUCUUCAAGAAAUGUUCUUAGAUUUUGACAAAUAUUGGCUUAGGUUUCUUAUAUAUAGGACUGUUUUGAUUUGGAUAAUUCUGAAAUAUAUUAGUUGUAUUGGGACUGUUUUGCUUUGGCUUUCUUGUUGUAGUGGGAUUGUUGUGUAUGAAACAAUUAAGAAGGAAUGAAGAUAAGUUGUGAAAUGUUACUCUCUUACUAUGUUUUGAUUUUUCUUUACUUUUGUAAUUGGUUUAGUUAGAUUAUUGUACUCUAUUUUUUUAGAGUUCAAAUAAUUCAUUUAAAUGAUUCAAAGCUGUCAAAUGUUUAACACAAAAGGAACUACCAUUCAAUAAUUAUAUAAAGCACAAGUGCAACUGAUCGACAUUUUAAACACAAUAAUCUACCAUUCAACUGCUCAAAAUGAGCUCCAACCAUACAUCAAGUGUUCAUCCAAAACUAAUCUAAACAAACCACAAAAAAUAGUUCAGAAUCUUUAAAAAUCCCAACAAAAUACCAAAGUAGCCAUACAACUAAUAACCAAACUAUACAUUGUGCUAAAAACACAAUUAAUUCAACAACUUCAGAUUCCUCCUGGUGCACUAGAACUUUCAAGUUGGCUUCUUUUUUUACUGACUCAUACUCUGCAAUUGAGAAGUUGUGACGACAUUCUUUUCCUUCCACUUCAUUCCUCGAGGCUUAUAACCAAUAUCAAUAUUUGUUUGAGUUACAUCUUUGUAAACACCCAGAGUGACAACUGUUUCACUUCUAGUUCCAGGUUGUAUAAAAUGAAGUAAAAUUAGAUUUGUCAAAAGAUAAUUAAAAAUUACAUGAAUUGAAGUUGUAAUUCACACUUACAUUUAAUGUUUUACUGCAACUCAUUUGAUCAGUGUAGAUACCAAAUCCUACUGUCUUAGACCUCUUUUGUCCUACUGAUGAUGUUGAUGCUCCAAUGGUCAUUUUUUCCUUAAGUUGCUGAUCAGAUACACUUUCUUUUCCUCUACUUCUGCCAGUGCCUCUUCCAGAUCCUUUGCCUUUGCCAGCUCUCCUACCUUUGUCAGUAUCUCUACCUCUACCUCUACCUCUACCUCUUCCAGCUGGCUGCACUCUUAUAACUGCUGAGGUAUCAACACACAUAGAACUGCUGAAGCUUGGUUGCUGGCUGAAGCUUGGUGGCCUGCUAGAGCUUGGUGGCCUGCUAGAUCUUGGUGGCUAGAUGAAGCUUGGUGGUUAGCUAAAGAUUGGUGGCCUGCUAAAGCUUGGUGUCUUGCUAGAGCUUGGUGGCUGUCUGAAGCUUGGUGGCUGCUAGAGCUUGGUGGCAUGCUAGAGCUUGGUGGUUGGGUAGAGCUUGGUGGCCUGCUAGAGCUUGGUGUCCUACUAGAUCUUGGUGGUUGACUGAAGCUUGGUGGCCUGCUAGAGCUUAGUGGCUGGCUAAAGCUUGGUGGCCUGCUAGAACUUGCUGCGUGGCUAGAGCUUCCAGGUUGUCCCAUUCCAUCUUAACAAUAAAGGAUAUUAAAUAUAUAUUAUAAAUAUCAGAAUUUAAUUAUUGAAUUAAAAGAUAUGAGUGCAUUACCUGAGCUUUACAGAGAGUUCUGCUAUGACCAAUUUGAUGACAUUUGGAGCAAGAAAUUUUCAGUCCUUUCCAGGAUAGCUUCCCAUAUUUCUUCUUAGGCUCAUUCUUCCUUUUUUUCUAUUCUUUCCUGGUCUGCUAGGCAUUCGUCUAGGCUCAUGAGGAUCAAUCACUACACCACUUGUGUUAGGCUACAUUUCCAUAUUAGAUAUUGGCUGAAGAAAGUAGUCAUAAGCCUUCAAGAAUGUAUCUUUCUUAUACCACUCUUCCACAUAAAAUUCAGGCUCUAUACCUUUAUGCUGAUAAGCCAAUACAGCAUGUUGACAUAGUAUGCCUCUCAAUUUCCAGCUUCUGCAAGUGCAAGUCCUUGUCCUAAUAUUAACUAUAUGCCUAUAAGGACCAUCUAAAAUUCCAUACCCAAUCUGUCCAUUGAACCUCACUGUGCAAUUUCUAGCCAUAUCUUUAUUUUCUUCAAGUACUAGCAAAGCCAUAAGAGAGAUGUCUGAAAUGCAGGUAUUAACAAACUUCCUCAUUUCAACAUUUCUAUCCAUUAUCUUAUGUCUAAUCUCCUCUAACAUACAGAUUAUAGAUUUAUGUCUAACAGCUAAAAUUCAUGAAUUAAAAGUCUCACACAUAUUAUUCUCAACAAUGUCACAUUUAGAAUACUCCCUAAAAUAUGCCCUGCACCAUGAUUUUUUUCAUAAUGUAAUAAGUCCUCACAAAUAUCCUUACCAAGUUGACUGAGUUUGCCCAUCUCAUCCAAAAACUUCACUUCAAAACUGGAUUUAGCACACCUCUAAAAUUAUUUUCUUCUUUCUUCUCCUCUCCAGAUCUGAUGUCAAUUGGACCAGAUGUAUCUUGCACACCACCUCAUUUCACAAUCUGGUAACAACUCAAGUAUAGUAGGUACAAGACCUUACAUCAGUAUAAAUACAAAAUAAAAACACAAAAUAUAUGAACAUGGAAUGUAUAGUAAAUAAAUAGAAGACAUCAAAAUUAAAUUUUAAAAAGUAGACUAACCUUUUGCAUAUCUGACAUGACAGACAGAUCAUGUUCAAUGCCUAAGUUCAAAUCUUGAAUCAAGUGGUUAAUGAAGAAACUCCAGCUAUUUUGUCUUUUGAUCAACCACUGCUCAGGCUAUUGGAUACAUUUGAUUAUUUCCAUUUCUCCCAACUGCAACUAACAAUUCACCCUUGCAAGAACCUUUCAAAAAACAACCAUCUAACCCAAUAAUUUUUCUGCACCCUGCCAGCCAGCCUCUCUUUAAUGCAUCAAAGCACAAAUAAAAAUAAAUAAAUAGAUUUUUUCCAAGUUGAGACUCUCUAUCUAUCCUCACCCAACAAGAACUGUCAGGAUUAAUAUGUUUUAUCAUGUCUGCAUAGUCACACAACCUUGAAAAUUCCAUCUUCCAAUCACCCAAGAAUUCUUUAAUGAUUCUAUGCUUUGCCUUGCUACAAAUAGUUUUUUCCACAUACAAACCCAAUUUUUUUCUCACCAAUUCCUGAAUUUCCCACAGUUUUAUAUAAGGUUGUAAAGUUAUUUCAUCUUUGAACUUACUUACAAUAAAUUUAGAUGUGCACAAUUUAUUUUUAUAGUAGUAGUGCAUACAUGUACAGGAUAGUAGUGCUUGACAACAGAGUCACCAGAAUGCUUAUCAAUACUAGCAAACAACAACCAUUUACAUUUCUUGCCCUUACACCUAACUCUAACUCUAUGUUUCUCAUUAGGCUUAAGCUUCAAUCUAACUUUGUAUUCAACAGCAUACUCAACCACAACCUUUCUAAAUUGCUUAGCAUUUUCAAAUAUCAUACCAAGCUCAAAUAUAGCCACAACACAAUCAGAAUCAAAUCUUACUUUUUUUACUUUUCCUUUUUGCUGAUAAAUCAACACCCCUGACAGUUUCAGGUUCCAGUCCAUCAGCACUAUCAUCACUAUCAACUUCAAAGCUAUCUAUAUACUUAUCAUCUCCCCCUAAUCUUCUACUGUAUCUAGCAGUCUUAUUCCUUCCAAUAUCUUCAAAUCCCCUAUCAACACCUGCUGAUCCAAGUUUUAUUUUUUCAUUUUGGACAGAUUUCUUUUGUUUCACACAGUUUCUCCUUUCAUUUCUAAGAGUUCUUAACUCUUCAUCAUCCUCAGAAUCGUCAUCUUCUGGUAUAUUAAACUCUUGAGAAUCAACACUACUAUCAAGAUCUAUUUCAGCCCCUUCUAGAUCUGAGAGUUCAUCUGCACCAGAUUCUAUAUCUAUGUUGUCAGUUUGGGUAGGUUCCUCAUGUAACCCUUCAACAUUAAUAUCAUGAACUGUUGAUAUGUUCUUACCCACAUUACUAUUUUCACCAACCACAUUACUACUUUGAUCACCUACUGUACCACAAAGAAAACCAGAUGGGACCUCAUCUUCUACCACUUCUACCUCAUCCACAACAUGGUUCAUAUACAAGUCUAAAAAGUCCCCAUCUUCUAGGUCUUCAACAAGACUUACCAAAGUCAAGUCAUUUUCUACUUCAAUAAAGACUUUCUUUUUAGGGUCUUUAAAGUAGAACCCACCAACAGUCAUAUACCCAAAUUCUUUAGUAUAAUAAAACAACUUGAAUAUAGAAAAGUGGUCUUUGUUCGUACUUACAUAUUCCACCUCACUUUCUCCUAUGUAGUGUGGACCAUAUUCUUCAUCAGAAACAAACUUGCCACCAUGGUGAAAAUGAGUUGUAAUAAUAAUAUUAGCCAUUAGAUUCCUGAAACAAAAUUCCAAAAAUACCUGACAAGUUAUGAAUAGUAAAAACCCUAAAAAAAUCCUAGCUUUUUUCGGAUAUUCCCAAACUACAAUUACUAACGUAAUAUACUAACAAAGAACUAAUAAAUCAUUUACAACAACAAGACAUGACAAAAAUGUGACAAUAUUGACAUUUGCAACAUACCUGAGUGCGAUUCAAACACAAAACAAUAACAAUUUUUUAGAUCCAACUCCAGAUUCUUUGCAACCAAUAAAGAAAUGUUGAAAUCAGUGUCAAACUUGAACUAAUCACUCAAAAACACUAUGUAACUUUUUAUUAUACAACAAACGAAGCAUAAAUUAGUAGUAUUAGGAGUGAAAUCGCAAUUUUAGGGUUUCUGAUAGAUUUAGGGAUGUGUAUGAGGGAUUUGACGUUAUAAGGAGGGAAACGAAGUAGAAAUUAUCUUUAUGUAUUAAUUAAAAAAAAGGUGGGGUGUAAAAUAUAAUUGGUUAUAAUUGGUCAAAAUCUACACGUAGACGAUGACUACAUACACGCACUUAACACGUUAAAAAAGAAGGCUUUAAAAAGGUGUCAUGUCGGACAAUUGAGCUCAGUUGAAACCAUUUAUGAAGGGGUAAAGGGUUCAAUAGGUAUCCGUCUUAGUUGAGGUGUCUAUACGGAAAAAGUGAAAUAGUUAAGGAAUCUCUCUAUAUAUAUAGCCUUAAUAUUUUGACAAAUUAACCUUUUGGGUCCCACCUUUCGGAGAAUUCUUUCUUAUUUUUUCCUCUUCAUUUUCUUUUCUGUCUCAUUGUCAUUUAACUUUUUUUUCUUCAACAAAUAAUGUUUUGUGCUUUUGCUCUUUCUUUUUGGGUUAUUUUUUACUUAUGGUUUUCUUUAUUUUUCUUCAUUUACCCUAUUUCUUUCCAAUUUUUUUUAGUACUCUUGAUACAAGUAAAUUGAAGGUUUUUCUUUUUCCUUUAAUUUUUUAUUUGUCAAUAUUUAUAUGCAAAUUAAAUGAUACUUACUUUUUUAUUUAUUUUUUUAGUUUAUUUUAAAAAUAUUAUUUCUUUGAUUUUUAGAUAGUAAGGUAAUAUUGUUUCCAUUAGUUAGUGUCUAGUUAGAUUUUGUAAUUAUUUUAAUCCGAAAUAUAAUUUUUGAUAUAUAUUUAAUGAUGUGACAGUUCCUAAAUUUCCAAGAAAAGUUAUUUUAAAAAUUAAAAUCAAUAGUUAGAUUUAUUUAGGACCAACUCAUUCUAAAUUCAAUUCAAUUCUUGAAAGACCGCCUGGAAAUAAUUUUUCUAUAUAGAAAAUUAUCUUAAUGAUUAAAAAAAAAGAUGAUUGCUCUUCCAUUUUUAACAUGCUAAGUAUUAUACAUGUCCUAAUAACAUUGAACCAUGAUAAAUAAUAUUAUAUAAAUUCAAUUAUAAAAAACAGAUUUAUCACUUAUCAAAUUUAAUUUUAAAUUUUCGAUAUUCAAAUUUUUCAACACCAACAAAAAGAGAGUAUAAUAAAAAAUAGAAAUUAUUGUCAUGAUUGAAUGGCCAAAAUUUUAUUUUCUUUUUUUUAACAAAUAUGAACAAAUAAUAGUUGGGAUGAAAAAAAAGAUUCAUUCUACUUAGUACCGAAACAGGAGGAAGAAAAAUCAAUUUGUGAAAAAAGACAAAGAAAGAAUAAAAAACAGUAAACAAAAAAGUAACCAAAAAAAAAGAGCAAAUAAUGUUUUGCCCCAAAAAAGUUAAUGAUCGAAAAAGUAAAAUAAAUAAAUGAAUAUAGAAAAUGAUCUGAUAGUGGGACCCCAAAGUCCAUUUGUCAAAAAAUUAAAGACCUCAUAUUAAAAUUUUACAUAUACAAACUAAAAGCAUCUCGUCUCAUCUCCCACUUCUAGAAGGUUGUACUACUAAUUAGGCCUCCAGGAAACAGAGAAGUGUGGUACAAAAAUUAAUUCGUCUGUCUGCUCUCUUUCUAUCCCUAUAAAAUUCAAUUCUCUCAAUAAUUUCGCAUGUGAUUUGCCCCACUGUGUCUGUACAUAGUAUGUCCUCCUACUUUGCAUCCUUGGAUGAAUACUGGACCUUUAAAUUGAAUCCAGUUCCUUGCUUUCCAGAUGUAAUACACCAUAGUCCCCCAUAAUGCAGCUGCCGCUUCCUUCUUAAACUUCUUCCAAUGCUCUCUUCUAAUCAGCUCAAAUGUAGUCUUCACAUCUCCUGCGGACAGUGAAAUAUUGGAUUAUUAUAUGAGUUCAGCUCUUACCAGUGCAGCAUAUAUAGCCACAGUCAACAAAUAUGUGGCUACUACGCUCUCCAUUGUAGAUGAUUGAAAUAGGCGGCAGUUGACAUUUUCUAUGUACAUGUUCAUAUGUAGUAAUCUUUCCUUCGUAAGCAAUCUGUUCAGCAAGGUAACCACUAGUAAUUGAAUACUUUAGCAGUAAGGAUGAAUUGCCCCCAUGCAUCAGUGUUUCAUUCUAUCCCUUAUAAAAUUUAUUUUCCUCCAACACCAGCUACUUGUUAUUUUCGUUUGUACUUUGGGUACACAGAAUCAGUAUAUGCAGAACAAUAACUUCAACUAGAGUUCAAGUAUAAACAAGAACACAAUGAAGUAUAUCAAAUACUCUCUAACACAAGAUCGAAAUGACCUUUUCAAGAGGUGUAUUUUAUUUUUUCAGAAAUUAAGAUGAAACAGAAAAUAGCCAAGUCAUCCGAAUUCACGAAGUUUCUUUAAGGAAAUAAUUUCCCUCACUGUACCCGAGGUUAUAGAAUUUUUCCUCCUAGAAUAAAAUGGCUAAAUAGAUCAAUUGUAGCGGUACCUCAAACGGUUGGAAUAUCUUCGAACGCACAGGACGUUUUGAUUGAUCACAUAGAGUAAUUUGGAAGACAAGAAGUAAUUUUGUAUUCUGAAAUUUUCAUAUCAAAACCUGUGGAUGAAAGCAGGUUUAUAUAGCCAUAACAUGUCUCUUCUGAAAAUAGGCAAUGGUUCACUCCAAAGGUUACACCUUUGCUGUAAGUUCAUGUCUGUUCAUCAAAGAUUGCAUCUUUUCCUGAAUAGUCAUCUCAUUUCAUGAAUCAGUGUGUCACUUCAUUGAAGGAUUACAUCCUUCUGAAGCAUCAUUUCGAACCAUUGCAACUCAGUUUAAAACAAUAUAUCAUUUCUGAAGCACCAGUUCAAAAACAAUGCAUCAGUUCACUUGAAACAGUGCAACUGUUACUGCAUCUAUAUAUAAAUGGAGAUCCUAAACACUGCAGAAAAAUUUUACUGCGUUUUUCCUUGGCAUUCUUCGGAAUUCAAAUAAAGUUUGUCCAAAAAAAUAGAUCUCAUCGAUCAAUCAUUAUCCAAAUCCAAAGCCAAGCGAGCAACGAUGAAAAUGGCGCAAGACAUCUAUUAUUUCUUGCCUCACUUGCCAUGUGGAAUAAAUGUUCUUGAUUAUAAAUACUUUCAAGUACUCUUCUUCCACCAAUGUGGGAGAAAGAGUAAAUUAUCUAAUUUGGAAGUACACUUUUCAUUUUAGUGUCUCCUUCCCCUCCAUCAUUUUACUCUCCAUUUUUUCAUUCACACUUCUUUCAUAUACUAUGAACCCAACACUACUAUCUGCUGGCUUCUGUGUCCAGAUAGUGUCAGUUUUGAUACAUAUUUCGGGUGCCUACUUCAGCCCCAAAGACUCCUUCUUUACAACUACUUUCCACAAAACCUUGCCUACCGAUGCCAAGUUCCAAUUCUCACACAAUAUUCAAACCACCCUGCUUUUUGGAGACACUUUAUCCCAAGCUACUAGUGCUACCUUCCUUUUCCCUCUAUAAUACCCCACAAGUAAUCUCUAAAUGUCUUAUCUACCUCCUUCACUAUACUAGGGGGAAGGAGAAAAACUGCAUUUUAUUCAUCCAUCUGUCAAGACCGGUUUUACCCCAUACUACCAAAGCGGCCAGCAAAAUUUUGACCAUACUGCUUUGAGCAAAUCUUCCUGAGCAAAAUAAAUGGUCUGAAAUUUCCACUUUCUUAGAGUGGGGCAAGCAAUACAAGAAUCUUGAUUGGAAGAUUAUAUCAAAAUUUUGAGACCUUUUCAUCAGUUGGUACCCUGUCGUAUGAAGCUCCCCACCUUACAAAUGUCAUCUUGAAAAAUAUUAUUGUUUAUGCCACAUUUUUUGGGCACUUACUUGAUUGUUCUUUCUUCUAAAUUAGGAGCUCCCAUGCUGAGGCUAGUGAGAACCUGCCAUUGAUGUUAGCCAACCCUAGUACUCUAUCUGGAGCUGCAUGGAAUAAGGUAAUGUGGUGUUGUGCUACCAUGCCAUAUUGCCAAGUGACAUUGUCAAGUGCCUCCUUAAGAAGGGAUAUUUCCGGCUUUUGCUCCAUCAGGUAAAUGACUAUAGAGCAUUCCCGUUUUUGUUCAGUUGUCAUACCAGAAUGAUGUUUUUACCUUUCCAGGCAGGCAUGCUAUAUUUUCCUUAACUUCAUGCUUUAAGUCACAGAGGGCUCUCCAGCCGUGUGACUGUUGCCCUGAUAAUUUUCAUGGAUCGUACAUGUGAAAUAUUUGGUUUGGGUGGAAAUGAAUUGACUCUCAUCUAAGAGAAAACACACUGCUAGUUAAUUAUAUUAUGUCGCAGCAUUAAUGGAGACACUCUUUAGAUGCCCGGUCCCCUUGCCAGCCACUAGAACUUGGGAGGGCAAUUUCUGUUGAUCCUUGACAAGCCAAAACAAUUUCCAAAUUAAUCAUUUAAAAAAAAAAAACAUUACAGAGCCAAGAAGCCAUCAUCUAACACAAGAUCUAGCAACACUUAGUAUAGAAAAUUCACAAUCUUUCAUUGAUAUAAACAAUUGAAAGAGCAAUUACACGAGAACAUCAAAUUAGACAUUAGAGUCAAUGAGUUCUCCAUUCACUAACUCUCUGUAAGCAGCAACAGGCCAGAUGAAGCCUCUCCAGACGAGCCUGUUAGCCAAUGGAACAUCAAUGAUGAUCUCCUUCAUUGUUGGCUUCUUCUCAUCUCUUAUUGCAAUCAAGUAGCUCCUUCCUACCCACCCAAUCCAUCCAGCAAUGUACAAGAAGAGGAUCCCAGGAGUGAUGAACUCACCCCAGUGCCUCUGGUCUCCACUCACUAUCAGGUGUGGCAGUCCAUCCGAUCCGCACAACAGUCCUUGUUUCGCAUAGUUGUCAAAUCUGCAAUGUCAAUAGGUGAGUGACUUUGUAAGUGAAAUAAAACAUGGACUCGAGUAUCAAGGAGUUGGAAUCAAAUGGAAUGUUCUAUUUUUCUAUGUUUACUUAGUCUAUGUCAAUGACUUAUGCAAGGAAAAGUUGAAAAUCUGUUACAAAAUAACUUGCCAUUCUUUCAUAAGCAAAUUUACUUCGUGCGCUCCUAUAGGGAGAAGGUGUUGAAGGUGGCCUCGUUUUCACACUUUUGGUUGGAUAAACGGAAGCCAUCAUCUAACACAAGAUCUAGCAACACUUAGUAUAGAAAAUUCACAAUCUUUCAUUGAUAUAAACAAUUGAAAGAGCAAUUACACGAGAACAUCAAAUUAGACAUUAGAGUCAAUGAGUUCUCCAUUCACUAACUCUCUGUAAGCAGCAACAGGCCAGAUGAAGCCUCUCCAGACGAGCCUGUUAGCCAAUGGAACAUCAAUGAUGAUCUCCUUCAUUGUUGGCUUCUUCUCAUCUCUUAUUGCAAUCAAGUAGCUCCUUCCUACCCACCCAAUCCAUCCAGCAAUGUACAAGAAGAGGAUCCCAGGAGUGAUGAACUCACCCCAGUGCCUCUGGUCUCCACUCACUAUCAGGUGUGGCAGUCCAUCCGAUCCGCACAACAGUCCUUGUUUCGCAUAGUUGUCAAAUCUGCAAUGUCAAUAGGUGAGUGACUUUGUAAGUGAAAUAAAACAUGGACUCGAGUAUCAAGGAGUUGGAAUCAAAUGGAAUGUUCUAUUUUUCUAUGUUUACUUAGUCUAUGUCAAUGACUUAUGCAAGGAAAAGUUGAAAAUCUGUUACAAAAUAACUUGCCAUUCUUUCAUAAGCAAAUUUACUUCGUGCGCUCCUAUAGGGAGAAGGUGUUGAAGGUGGCCUCGUUUUCACACUUUUGGUUGGAUAAACGGAGGACUAAACGAGUUUUUAUGAGCAUUAUCGGGUUCUAGAAUAUAUAUCAAAAAGGAAUUCUACAUUUUUAUAUUUCGGAGCUUUUUAAUUUUAAGCUUCUUAUCUUACUCGUAUGCUAUCAUAACUAUAAAAAUGUAAUGUCUGAGAUCACAAUUCUAAGAAUACUGAUAAGUGAGACUUGAGCACCUCCACCAAACCGGUAAGUGGGAUCACUGUUAUUCUCACCAAAAGAAGAAUCUAAGAAUACUAGUCUUUAAAGAAGAAAAAUUUGUACACAAUCAAAUACAUCCACAUAAAGUGUAAGAAUAUGAUUAAAUAGAAAAUGAUUACUAAGGACAAAGCAAGGAAAAUUUAGCAUAUAAGAAAGAAGGGAACUUUCAAGAUUCUUGCAAAAUUUAAAAGAAAAGGUAACAAAGACAAACCUGCGCUUAGUUUUCUCAAUAGUGGCAUUAAUAGCAAGUGCAGGAGCACUAUCAGGUGCAUACAGUUUCAAAGAAUUCUCAAGCUUCUUGAUCUGUUGCUUCUCCCUCUUAGCAAACUGCUUUGACUCCUUGCAAGGUGUGAGCCCAGAGAUGUCAGCAGAAGCUGGAAGCACUGGUGCUGACAAAAGAAUUGAAGACAAAGCAAGUGCUGCUGAGAAUGCUUUUAAUGAGGAAGAACUCUCAUCUGUCUUAGUAGAAGCAGGGGUCUGGUUUGAAGAGCAUACUAUGGUUGAAGUU
rnacentral:lncRNA from 1 species